rnacentral:rRNA from 1 species
AGUGAACGCUGGCGGUAGACCUAACACAUGCAAGUCGAACGGCAGCACAGUAAGAGCUUGCUCUUACGGGUGGCGAGUGGCGGACGGGUGAGGAAUACAUCGGAAUCUACUUUUUCGUGGGGGAUAACGUAGGGAAACUUACGCUAAUACCGCAUACGACCUACGGGUGAAAGCAGGGGAUCUUCGGACCUUGCGCGAUUGAAUGAGCCGAUGUCGGAUUAGCUAGUUGGCGGGGUAAAGGCCCACCAAGGCGACGAUCCGUAGCUGGUCUGAGAGGAUGAUCAGCCACACUGGAACUGAGACACGGUCCAGACUCCUACGGGAGGCAGCAGUGGGGAAUAUUGGACAAUGGGCGCAAGCCUGAUCCAGCCAUGCCGCGUGGGUGAAGAAGGCCUUCGGGUUGUAAAGCCCUUUUGUUGGGAAAGAAAAGCAGCAGGUUAAUACCCCGCUGUUCUGACGGUACCCAAAGAAUAAGCACCGGCUAACUUCGUG